AUUGAACGCUGGCGGCAGGCCUAACACAUGCAAGUCGGGCGAGUGGCGGACGGGUGAGUAAUGUCUGGGAACCUGCCUGAUGGCGGGGGAUAACUACUGGAAACGGUAGCUAAUACCGCAUACCAUCAGAUGUACCCAUAUGGGAUUAGCUUGUAGGUAGGGUAACGGCUAACCUAGGCGACGAUCCCUAGCUGGUCUGAGAGGAUGACCAGCCACAAUGGGACGGAGACACGGUCCAGACUCCUACGGGAGGCAGCAGUGGGGAAUAUUGCACAAUGGGCGCAAGCCUGAUGCAGCCAUGCCGCGUGUAUGAAGAAGGCCGUCGGGUUGUAAAGUACUUUCAGCGGGGAGGCGUUACCCGCAGAAGAAGCACCGGCUAACUCCGUGCCAGCAGCCGCGGUAAUAC
rnacentral:rRNA from 1 species